rnacentral:rRNA from 1 species
GACGAACGCUGGCGGCGCGCUUAACACAUGCAAGUCGAACGGAAAGGCCUGCUUUCCCUUGUGGAUUGCGGGUACUCGAGUGGCGAACGGGUGAGUAACACGUGAGUGAUCUGCCCCCAACUUGGGUAUAAGCCUGGGAAACUGGGUCUAAUUCCCGAUAGGACUGCAGGGUGGUGCCUGUGGUGGAAAACGAUUUUCUAGUGGUUGGGGAUGAGCUCGCGGCCUAUCAGCUUGUUGGUGGGGUAAUGGCCUACCAAGGCGGCGACGGGUAGCCGGCCUGGGAGGGUGGACGGCCACAUGGGGACUGGGAUACGGCCCAGACUCCUACGGGAGGCAGCAGUGGGGAAUAUGGCACAAUGGGGGGAAGCCUGAUGCAGCGACGCAGAGUGGGGGAUGACGGCCUUCGGGUUGUAAACUCCUUUCGACCGCGAGGAAGCCACCUGGUUGGAAGGGUGGUGACGGUAGUGGUAGAAGAAGCACCGGCUAACUACGUG